rnacentral:rRNA from 1 species
AUUGAACGCUGGCGGAAUGCUUUACACAUGCAAGUCGAACGGUAGAGGGGGCAACCCCUCGAGAGUGGCGAACGGGUGAGUAAUAUAUCGGAGCGUGCCCAGUCGGGGGGGAUAACGUAGCGAAAGUUACGCUAAUACCGCAUACGAUCUAAGGAUGAAAGCGGGGGAUCGCAAGACCGCGCGCGAGUGGAGCGGCCGAUAGCAGAUUAGGUAGUUGGUGAGGUAAAGGCUUAACAAGCCAACGAUCUGUAGUUGGUCUGAGAGGACGACCAGCCACACUGGAACUGAGACACGGUCCAGACUCCUACGGGAGGCAGCAGUGGGGAAUUUUGGACAAUGGACGCAAGUCUGAUCCAGCCAUUCCGCGUGCAGGAUGAAGGCCCUCGGGUUGUAAACUGCUUUUGUACGGAACAAAAAGGUCUCUCUUAAUACGGGGGACUCAUGACGGUACCGUAAGAAUAAGCACCGGCUAACUACGUGCCAGCCGCCGCAGUAACAC